GAUGAACGCUGGCGGCGUGCUUAACACAUGCAAGUCGAACGAAGAAGAGUUGAAUGAGAGCUUCGGCAGGAUUUCUUCUCAUCUUAGUGGCGGACGGGUGAGUAACGUGUGGGCAACCUGCCCUAUACUGGGGAAUAAUCACUGGAAACGGUGACUAAUACCGCAUGUCAUCACCGGAGGGCAUCCUCUGGUGAAAAAAGGNGCAAUUCGGUAUAGGAUGGGCCCGCAUCUGAUUAGCUAGUUGGUGAGAUAACAGCCCACCAAGGCGACGAUCAGUAGCCGACCUGAGAGGGUGACCGGCCACAUUGGGACUGAGACACGGCCCAAAACUCCUACGGGAGCAGCAGUGGGGAAUAUUGCACAAUGGGCGAAAGCCUGAUGCAGCGACGCCGCGUGAAUGAAGAAGUAUUUCGGUAUGUAAAGUUCUAUCAGCAGGGAAGAUAAUGACGGUACCUGACUAAGAAGCACCGGCUAAAUACGU
rnacentral:rRNA from 1 species